GGAGUUGGCCAGACAGUCGCCGCUGAGGUGUCAAAACCUCAGGGGAGGAAAGUCCGGGCUCCAUAGGGCAGAGUGCCAGGUAACCCCUGGGCGGCGUGAGCCGACGGAAAGUGCAGCAGAGAGUAGACCGCCUAAGCCUUUCGAGGCCGGUAAGGGUGAAAGGGUGCGGUAAGAGCGCACCGCGCGCCUGGCAACAGUGCGUGGCAUGGUAAACCCCACUCGGAGCAAGACCAAAUAGGAACCCGUUGGCGUGGCCCGCGCUGGGUUCGGGUAGGUUGCUUGAGCAUUGUGGUGACGCAAUGCCUAGAGGAAUGACUGUCCACGACAGAACCCGGCUUAUCGGCCGACUCCCCCU
rnacentral:RNase_P_RNA from 1 species